CAAUAGCGUAUAUUAAAGUUGUUGCGGUUAAAAGCUCGUAGUUGGAUUUCUGUUGAGGAAGUCCGGUCCGCACUUUGUGCGUGAUCUGGUUCUGCCUCGGCAUCCUCGCGGGGAACGCGCUGCGCUUGAUUGCGUGGUGCGGUAUUCGCGACUUUUACUUUGAGGAAAUUAGAGUGUUCACGGCAGGCUAUCGCCUUGAAUACGUUAGCAUGGAAUAAUAAUAUAGGACCUUGGUUCUAUUUUGUUGGUUUCUAGGACCGAAGUAAUGAUUAAUAGGGACAGUUGGGGGCAUUAGUAUUUAAUUGUCAGAGGUGAAAUUCUUGGAUUUAUGAAAGACUAACUACUGCGAAAGCAUUUGCCAAGGAUGUUUUCAUUAAUCAAGAACGAAAGUUAGGGGAUCGAAGAUGAUUAGAUACCAU
rnacentral:rRNA from 1 species